rnacentral:rRNA from 1 species
AUUGAACGCUGGCGGCAGGCUUAACACAUGCAAGUCGAGCGGAGUGAUGGUGCUUGCACUAUCACUUAGCGGCGGACGGGUGAGUAAUGCUUAGGAAUCUGCCUAUUAGUGGGGGACAACAUCUCGAAAGGGAUGCUAAUACCGCAUACGUCCUACGGGAGAAAGCAGGGGAUCACUUGUGACCUUGCGCUAAUAGAUGAGCCUAAGUCGGAUUAGCUAGUUGGUGGGGUAAAGGCCUACCAAGGCGACGAUCUGUAGCGGGUCUGAGAGGAUGAUCCGGCACACUGGGACUGGGACACGGCCCAGACUCCUCCGGGAGGCAGCAGUGGGGAAUAUUGGACAAUGGGGGGAACCCUGAUCCAGCCAUGCCGCGUGUGUGAAGAAGGCCUUAUGGUUGUAAAGCACUUUAAGCGAGGAGGAGGCUCUUUUGGUUAAUACCCAAGAUGAGUGGACGUUACUCGCAGAAUAAGCACCGGCUAACUCUGUGCCAGCAGCAGCCGCCG